AACUCUAGGCUAAUCGCUAAUGCUAACUAGCACUAGGCUAAUCGCUAAUGCUACCUAGCAUCCCCAACCAUGAGCUCACUAAACUACUCCUCCCCUGCUAAAGAAGAGGAGGUCUGCUGGACGGAGAAAGAAGCUCUGGGUCUGAACGUUGUCGUGAAAGAGGAAGAAGAGGAGGAUGAUGAAGAGGUUUCAGUUUUUGGAGAGGAAGAAGCUUUCAGAAUAAUAAAGGAGGAAGAGGAGGCUAUCACAUUGAAAGAAGAAGAGAAGGAUGUAAUGGUGAAAGGAGAGGAGGCCAUCUCAAUUGAAGAGAAGAAAGACGUUUUGGGAGUGAAAGGGGAGGAGGAGACUGACGAUCUGAUUCACACCAGUGAGUAUUAUCUUAAAAACAGGGGCAUAAACUCUCUCUGCAGUUGUUGAGCCACAGUGUGGUUGUUAAGGGGGUCAUUCUACUGAAGUUCUACACUUGUUCUGUACUGUAGGAUGUGGGUCGUUCCAUGUGAUUUCAAUCACUUUCCGACUGCACCAAUUUUGGUGACUUCAAUGCCAAAACAUUCAGUAGAGAGUUAGUUCUGAUUGUGGUGAUGCCUUCCAUUGUGUAGGUAUGUAUAUAGCCUGGUUAUUGUGUAGGUAUGUAUAUAGCCUGGUUAUUGUGUAGGUAUGUAAGCCUGGUCAUUGUGUAGGUAUGUAUAUAGCCUGGUUAUUGUGUAGGUAUGUAUAUAGCCUGGUUAUUGUGUAGGUAUGUAUAUAGCCUGGUUAUUGUGUAGGUAUGUAUAUAGCCUGGUUAUUGUGUAGGUAUGUAUAUAGCCUGGUUAUUGUGUAGGUAUGUAUAUAGCCUGGUUAUUGUGUAGGUAUGUAUAUAGCCUGGUUAUUGUGUAGGUAUGUAUAUAGCCUGGUUAUUGUGUAGGUAUGUAUAUAGCCUGGUUAUUGUGUAGGUAUGUAUAUAGCCUGGUUAUUGUGUAGGUAUGUAUAUAGCCUGGUUAUUGUGUAGGUAUGUAUAUAGCCUGGUUAUUGUGUAGGUAUGUAUAUAGCCUGGUUAUUGUGUAGGUAUGUAUAUAGCCUGGUUAUUGUGUAGGUAUGUAUAUAGCCUGGUUAUUGUGUAGGUAUGUAUAUAGCCUGGUUAUUGUGUAGGUAUGUAUAUAGCCUGGUUAUUGUGUAGGUUUGUAAUAGCCUGGUUAUUGUGUAGGUAUGUAUAUAGCCUGGUUAUUGUGUAGGUAUGUAAAUAGCCUGGUUAUUUCUAGAAUCUUCUACCAUGGGCAUGUUUGGAAGGUUUCUGGAAUCUUCUACCAUGGGCAUGUUUGGGAGGUUUCUGGAAUCUUCUACCAUGGGCAUGUUUGGAUGGUUUCUAGAAUCUUCUACCAUGGGCAUGUUUGGAUGGUUUCUGGAAUCUUCUACCAUGGGCAUGUUUGGAUGGUUUCUGGAAUCUUCUACCGUGGGCAUGUUUGGAUGGUUUCUGGCCAUUUCUACCAUGGGCAUGUUUGGGAGGUUUCUGGCCAUUUCUACCAUGGGCAUGUUUGACAUGUAUCCUAUACUGACUAGUCUAAUACAUGUAUCUUAUACUGACUAGUCUAAUACAUGUAUCCUAUACUGACUAGUCUAUUUAUCUAUUAGGUCUAAUACAUAAUAUAUAAUAAUAAUAAUAAUAUAUGCCAUAAUACAUGUAUCCUAUACUGACUAGUCUAAUACAUGUAUCCUAUACUGACUAGUCUAUUUAUCUAUUAGGUCUAAUACAUAAUAUAUAAUAAUAAUAAUAAUA